CAGCAGCACAAUCUAGGCUCACUGAAACCUCAGCCUCCUGGGUUCAAGCAAUUCUCCUGCCUCAGUCACCCUACAUAGUCAUCAUUCUGACAUCAUCUAAAAGAAAUUAGUAUCUGCAUUGCAUCCUUAAAGAAGAAGGGACAAAAGACAUGUCCAAACUGUCUGUCUGUUCUAGUGGAAUAAAACAUUAAUUUAAUAUGUAUUUUGGACAACCACCAACCUAGAGAUUGGAAACUUUUCUCAAGGAUAUAUCUCUCUGUAUGUGGGCUACUGGCUUUGUGGCUUUUCUGUAGGAAAAUUAAAAUUCUAGUUUUGUUCUCCCUUA